CAGAUGGACGAAUAUACACUC
rnacentral:sRNA from 1 species